GAUGCAGCGACGCCGCGUGGGGGAUGAAGGCCUUCGGGUUGUAAACUCCUUUCAGCCAUGACGAAGCUGGCCUUGUUGGGUCAGUGACGGUAGUGGUAGAAGAAGCACCGGCUAACUACGUGCCAGCAGCCGCGGUAAUACGUAGGGUGCGAGCGUUGUCCGGAGUUACUGGGCGUAAAGAGCUCGUAGGCGGUUUGUCGCGUCGGCCGUGAAAUCCUGUUGCUCAACGGCAGGCUUGCGGUCGAUACGGGCAGACUUGAGUUCGGCAGGGGAGACUGGAAUUCCUGGUGUAGCGGUGAAAUGCGCAGAUAUCAGGAGGAACACCGGUGGCGAAGGCGGGUCUCUGGGCCUUACCUGACGCUGAGGAGCGAAAGCAUGGGGAGCGAACAGGAUUAGAUACCCUGGUAGUCCAUGCCGUAAACGUUGGGCGCUAGGUGUGGGGACUUUCCACGGUUUCCGCGCCGUAGCUAACGCAUUAAGCGCCCCGCCUGGGGAGUACGGCCGCAAGGCUAAAACUCAAAGGAAUUGACGGGGGCCCGCACAAGCGGCGGAGCAUGCGGAUUAAUUCGAUGCAACGCGAAGAACCUUACCAAGGCUUGACAUACACUGGACCGUUCUGGAAACAGUUCUUCUCUUUGGAGCUGGUGUACAGGUGGUGCAUGGUNUGUCGUCAGCUCGUGUCGUGAGAUGUUGGGUUAAGUCCCGUAACGAGCGGAACCCUUAAUAUUAGUUGCCAGCAUUCAGUUGGGCACUCUAAUGUGACUGCCGGUGACAAACCGGAGGAAGGCGGGGAUGACGUCAAAUCAUCAUGCCCCUUAUGACCUGGGCUACACACGUGCUACAAUGGAUGGAACAACGGGUGGCGAAGUGGUGACACUCUAGCAAAUCCCUUAAAACCAUUCUCAGUUCGGAUUGUAGGCUGCAAUUCGCCUGCAUGAAGCAGGAAUCGCUAGUAAUCGCGGAUCAGCAUGCC
rnacentral:rRNA from 1 species